CUAAAAACCAAGUCCUACCUUCCCCACCCCAACUAAAAUAAAUUAAAAUAUUUUUAAAGCUAAGUAAAGAGGAUUGAAAAACUGAUUAGAACAAUAAACAUGUACCGCAAGGGAAAGAUGAAAUAGCAAUGAAAUAAUCAUUAAGCACAAUAAAGAAGAGCCCAACCCUCGUACCUUUUGCAUCAUGGUUUAACUAGUUAAACCGAGCACAAAGAAUUAUAGUCCGAACCCCCGAAACUAAGUGAGCUACCCCAAGGCAGCCUAACGAGCAAACCCGUCUCUGUUGCAAAAGAAUGGGAAGACCUUAGGGUAGCGGUGACAUACCUAGCGAACUUAGCGAUAGCUGGUUAUUCAAGAAAAGAAUUUUAGUCCAACCUAAAGCCAUAACAAUAUACAAAAUACCAACCUGACUUUAGAGCAACUCAAAUGAGUAACAGCCUAUUUGAAACAGGAUACAACCUCCACCCAUGGGUAAUACAAACUUUAAGUAACCAAGUAGGCCUAAAAGCAGCCAUCUUAAAAUAGCGUCAAAGCUAAACUACGACACAGAUAAAUCCCCUAAAUUAAUUAAAACCCUACCUCAAUACUGAAUAAUUCUAUACCCUAUAGAAAGCCUAAUGUUAAAACUAGUAACAUGAGGAGAGCCCUCUCUUUAAUGCAAACAUAAGUCAGAAUGGACAACACACUGACAAUUAACAGCCUAAACUAAAAUGAUAACCACCCAAGAAAACCCCAUUAAAACAUCUGUUAACCUAACACAAGAACAUUUAAAGAAAGACCAAUAGAAAAAGAAGGAACUCGGCAAAACUGAUUCCGCCUGUUUACCAAAAACAUCGCCUCUUGAAACCAUAAGAGGUCUAGCCUGCCCAGUGACCAUGUUCAACGGCCGCGGUAUCCUAACCGUGCAAAGGUAGCGUAAUCACCUGUUUUUUAAUUUAAGACCUGUAUGAAAGGCACCACGAGAAUCACACUGUCUCCUUUUUCUAGUCAGUGAAACUAAUCCCCCUGUGAAAAAGCAGGGAUAAAAAUACAAGACGAGAAGACCCUUUGGAACUUAAGACAAAAUAAUAAUUGCAACCCCAACUAACCUACACCCCCCCAGCAUUUUACUUAUAAGUCUUCGGUUGGGGCAACCACGGAGUAAAAAUAAACCUCCAAGCUGAACGGAAACUUCCUAAACAAAAAGCCACAACUUUAUGUAUCAACAAAUUGACACCAUUUGACCCAAUAUUUUGAUUAACGAACCAAGCUACCCUAGGGAUAACAGCGCAAUCCACUUCAAGAGUCCAUAUCGACAAGUGGGCUUACGACCUCGAUGUUGGAUCAAGGUAUCCUAGUGGUGCAGCCGCUACUAAAGGUUCGUUUGUUCAACGAUUAAAACCUCACGUGAUCUGAGUUCAGACCGGAGUAAUCCAGGUCAGUUUCUAUCUGUAACAGAGCUUCUUCCAGUACGAAAGGACAGAAACAGCAUGGCCAAUACUACAUGCACGCCAUACCUAAUAACUUUUGACCUCUCUCAAAAAAUUAUUACCCUAUCCCCUAACCCAAAGCAAGAGAA
rnacentral:rRNA from 1 species